GGCAAUGUAGCUCAGCGGUAGAGCGUUUGCCCACCAUGCAUGAGGCCCUCGGUUCAUCCCCAGUACUGCUA
rnacentral:tRNA from 1 species